rnacentral:lncRNA from 1 species
GGCAGAACAGAGGAGCAAGCGCUUUUCCAGGCAGGGCCGAGGGAUGCAGGGCUCCAGAGAAUCAGCGCGGAGGCCCUUCCCACCAGAGACAAACCCCGCCAGGCUGCUGUGCUGAAGCCUGUAGUGUACCUUUUCAGAUUCCUGGUGGGAGGCAUAGCUCUCGUCCUAGUUACCCUUUGGCAGGGGAGAAGAUCUGCUUCAGGAGCCCCAGCUAACACUGACCCCCAACAUGACUGUGCCAGACACCAGAGGCAUCCUGGCCACAGGCAAGGCCCCAACGGACCUCCCAAGGCCCAUAAGCAAAGCUAAGGGUUCUAUGAGCAGCUUUCCCUGGAGCCACGCAGAGUCCUCCCCAUCCAGGUUCCAAACGGCUCUCCCACCGCUGGCUUCCUGGACCUCCACCUCAGCUCAGCCUGGGCAGUCCUGCUGCUCCUCUCCCGAAGAGAAGAUGGGGGCCCACAGAGACCGCCGGCGAGAUCCCCUGGUCCUGUGCUGUGUGUGGCUCCCACUCACCACCUUGUGCGCUUCCCUGCCCUUGAGUCCUGGAGACACAAAUACAUGCAGCUAAUCACCUCUUUUUAGUCACUCGUUCACUUGACAAUAGUGCAUCGAUACAUACUUAUGGAGCAUUUGUUUGACGCAUUCGGUCUUCUACCAUGGCAGGACCUGGGGAACGCUGUAAACGUGACUUUGUCCUGGACCUCAAGGACCUUCCGGCCUCCCGAGAGCUUCAGCAGGUGUAUUCACCAGUUUUCCUCACUCUUACAAAACACCCAAUGCAGGCCAUUCAUGCAGAAAGAGGUUUAUGCCACUCAGUUUGGGAGCUUCAAAGCCGUGGUACCUCCAUUGGCUGAUACAGUAUAAAAAGUUGAGUGAAAGUUUGGGUUGCAGUUAAGGGGAAGGGGAAGGAUAGGAGGGAAAAUAAAACAUGUUACUGCAUGCGUGAAUGUGAUGAAACAAACUCAUUAUUCUGUAUCAUUAAAAUGCACUUGUAAAUUUUUUAAUUUGUGGGUGGAGUUUGAGAGUCCAUGCUGCAAAUAUAAAGAACCGAGCCCUGGAAUCUGUGCGUUGUGCUUCUCAGUAAAGAUGAGGGGCUGUUUGGGCAGUGGUGAGUGGUGAUUUUGGUGAUCCAAACUGGGGACACAGGGCGGUGCCCCUGAGCCUCAGCGGGCAGCUGUUAAGCGUUUGCAGCACACUGCUGGACCCUGC